UAUCUCCCCCAAGAGUCCACAUCGACGGGGAGGUUUGGCACCUCGAUGUCGGCUCAUCACAUCCUGGGGCUGUAGUAGGUCCCAAGGGUUGGGCUGUUCGCCCAUUAAAGUGGUACGCGAGCUGGGUUCAGAACGUCGUGAGACAGUUCGGUCCCUAUCCGUCGCAGGCGUAGGAAAUUUGAGAAGACCUGUCCUUAGUACGAGAGGACCGGGAUGGACGUACCUCUGGUGUACCAGUUGUUCUGCCAAGGGCAUGGCUGGGUAGCUAUGUACGGAAUGGAUAAGCGCUGAAAGCAUCUAAGCGCGAAGCCAACUUCAAGAUAAGAUUUCCCACCGCAAGGGUAAGACCCCAGAAAGACUAUCUGGUUGAUAGGUCGAAGGUGUAAGUGCAGCAAUGUAUUUAGCUUAUCGAUACUAAUAGGUCGAGGACUUGACCAAAUU
rnacentral:rRNA from 1 species